rnacentral:rRNA from 1 species
ACGGAAGGCAGCAGUGAGGAAUAUUGGUCAAUGGAGGGAACUCUGAACCAGCCAUCUCGCGUGAAGGAAUACGGCCCUACGGGUCUUAAACUUCUUUUAUAGGGGGAUAAAGUGAGAUACGCGUAUCUUUUUGUAGGUACCCUAUGAGUAAGCAUCGGCUAACUCCGUGCCAGCAGCCGCGGUAAUACGGAGGAUGCGAGCGUUAUCCGGAUUUAUUGGGUUUAAAGGGUGCGCAGGCGGCACGUUAAGUCAGCGGUGAAAUGCAGGGGCUCAACCCCGGCACUGCCGUUGAAACUGGCGAGCUCGAGUACGGAUGAAGUCAGCGGAAUGUGAUGUGUAGCGGUGAAAUGCUUAGAUAUGUCACAGAACACCGAUUGCGAAGGCAGCUGACUAGUCCGCAACUGACGCUGAGGCACGAAAGCGUGGGGAUCGAACAGGAUUAGAUACCCUGGUA